AGCACCACCAGGAAGGCCCAAUUCUGAGCAACAGGAAAGAGCAGAGAAAGCUAUUUCUGUUCCUUCUCCUCUUCCCUUUCUCCUCAUCUCAGGGUGGCCCUGCCCAUCAGAUUCCCUCCAGACCCAGGUGUGAGAGCAGUCCUUUCGCUGAGCCCUGGAGGAGGGCACUGCAAUAGAUGCUGGACUCGAGUCCCAGCGUGUCUACCUCCCACCCCUGCCAAGUGCUCUCCAGCCCCGUGGACUCCAUGCCCCAUUCUCGAGCAAAGAGCAAGGCGAACGGGAACUUUGAGCAGACUGAAUGCAGCAAUGCUCCUUCAGAACUCUGGGCACUCACAGUCCUGCUUUCUACAUAGUGUUUAAAAGCAGGUGCGUGAAAUGAAACCGCAGCUCCAUCAUUCGCUAGCUGUGUGACUGUAGGUGACUUUCAACUUUACUGAGCUUUGUUUUCGCCAUCAUAAACAACAAAAGAUGAUGGCACACCGAGCACUGCUUUGAAUCUUUCAGUGGAGUGAGUGUGAAGGACAUAGCUUGGGAAGUGCUCAGGAUAUAUUAACAGAGGGACACAUAAUUUCAGGGAGGUUAUCAUGUGAAAAAAAAGUGCACCGUCGACUUGGUAAGAGCUGGUGGUUUGUAUUAGUGCCAGUGGUAGUUCAUUCUCUCUUUAGUGGAAACUUUGAACUGACUUCCUAACAGAAUUAGAGUUUAAGCUGCUGGUCAGAGCUGGGCAGCAGCAUAUUACUAGGACGGGAAAAAGACCAAAGAAACCUUUGGAAGUUCCCGUUGGUGGGGAAGGUGGAAUGCAGAUGUCAGAUUUGUUUGCAGGGCUGUGAGUGAUGGUGGGUCCUAUGGGCAGAGAAUGGUCACUGUGGGAGAUUUAGGGCCUUUGUCCUCAGAAGUCACAGUGAGACUCCCAGUGGAAUGAUGGGAGCUGAAGGAAACUUCGAGAUGACUGGUCCAUGUCAAUCCUUUAACAGAUUAGGGAAGUGAGAGCUGGAGAAGUCUGGUGAUUUAUACCCUCGAUGCCUGUUAACUAGUGCCGGCCCUGGUGUACAACACCC
rnacentral:lncRNA from 1 species